AUUGAACGCUGGCGGCAUGCCUUACACAUGCAAGUCGAACGGUAACAGGUCUUCGGAUGCUGACGAGUGGCGAACGGGCGAGUAAUACAUCGGAACGUGCCUAGUAGUGGGGGAUAACUACUCGAAAGAGUGGCUAAUACCGCAUGAGAUCUACGGAUGAAAGCAGGGGAUCGCAAGACCUUGUGCUACUAGAGCGGCCAAUGGCAGAUUAGGUAGUUGGUGGGAUAAAGGCUUACCAAGCCGACGAUCUGUAGCUGGUCUGAGAGGACGAUCCGCCCCACUGGGACUGAGACACGGCCCAGACUCCUACGGGAGGCAGCAGUGGGGAAUUUUGGACAAUGGGCGCAAGCCUGAUCCAGCAAUGCCGCGUGCAGGAUGAAGGCCUUCGGGUUGUAAACUGCUUUUGUACGGAACGAAAAGCCCCGGGUUAAUACCCUGGGGUCAUGACGGUACCGUAAGAAUAAGCACCGGCUAACUACGUGCCAGCCGCCGCUGUAA
rnacentral:rRNA from 1 species